rnacentral:rRNA from 1 species
UACGUAGGGUGCAAGCGUUUGUCCGGAAUUAUUGGGCGUAAAGGGCUCGUAGGCGGUCUGUCACGUCGGGAGUGAAACUCAGGGCUUAACCCUGAGCCUGCUUCCGAUACGGGCAGACUAGAGGUAUGCAGGGGAGAACGGAAUUCCUGGUGUAGCGGUGAAAUGCGCAGAUAUCAGGAGGAACACCGGUGGCGAAGGCGGUUCUCUGGACCGAGACUGACGCUGAGGCGCGAAAGCGUGGGGAGCAAACAGG